AUGAGCCAAACAGUUAAGUUCAGAUUGGCUGUACCACAAUGUGGUCAUUUUGCUCAUCUGAACAUGGCUUACACCAAAAGAAACUAUCCUGCGCACAUAGCUGUUUCUCUCCUCCUUCUUUAUGACACAGAAGGUUUCUGGAGAGUGGAGCUAAGCCACACCCACCCUCCAGUCCUGCAUCCAGUCAACAAAUGCCAAGGACGUCUCUGUGGAACAUCAGGAAAACCUCUAACCAUGAAGCAUGAGAAUUAUGGGGACACAGAAUAUGGUGUGUAUCCGCCUAGGCAUGUGCUUGGAGAGAACCGUGGUGAAACUCCCCGGGACAUCAAUGUUUCUACAGAUGUUUUGCACAAAACUAAACAUUUGAACUGGCUUUUAAAUACUGGGUGAUCUUCUAAAGGAAACGGCUUUACUGUGACUGGAG
rnacentral:lncRNA from 1 species